CUGGACUUGGAUUUAUAUUGUAUCCAAGCUGCCUACGUACCCAAACGGGAUCAAGCCGAACGUAGUUCAUUACAAAAGAAAAACGGAAAACAUGCAUGGGCACGCAGGCCCGCUAAACUAGAAAUAAAAUGCAAAGGCACGCAGGCCCGAAAAACCAAAAACAAUAUUCAGAAGAAUUAAAAAUGCAGGAAAAGAAAAUCUCCUAAAUGGCAUCGGGAAUGUUACUUGUAAUAUAUUUUUAGAUUAUCGACAUUCCAGGGCCUUGGAAGAGGUCUACCCGAAGUGUCUCUUAGGCUAUAUGCUCCUUUGCGAACCUGUCGUAUGACCUCAAAGGGUCCUUCCCAGAUGGGCCCGAGCUUCCCUGGGGGGUGACCUGCUGCUUCGACCCUCCGCAAGACCAAGUCGCCAGCUCUGAACCUUCGAGUCUUGACUUUGCUAUUAAAAUGUUUUGCUGUCUUAGUUUGGUAAGAGGCCACCUUUAUAGCAGCUUGCUUCCGUACUUCUUCCAAGAGAUCAAGAUGUUCAGUUGUAUGCUCCGAGGUUUCUGGCACAAGCCUCCUAUGGCUCGGGAGUCUAAUUUUCACCGGGACCAUUGCUUCAAUGCCAUAGGCUAACAUAAAAGGGGUUUCUCCUGUGGUUGUCCUAUGAGUUGUUCUAUACGUCCAAAGUAUAGAAGGCAGCUCGUCGGACUAAGAACCCCUAGCAUUGCUUAUUCUUGUUCGGAGGUCUUGUAAUAUGAUUCGAUUUGUUACCUCGGCCAGACCAUUGCUCUGAGGAUGCAAAACUGAUGUCAGACGGUGAUCAAUCCCAAGGUUUGAGCAAAAGUCCCUAAACUGUUGAUUGUCAAAUUGCCUGCCAUUGUCGGUAAUGAGGACCUUUGGUAUCCCAAACCUGCAAAUGAUAGAUCUCCAAGUGAAGGCUCUUAGCUUGGGCUCUG
rnacentral:lncRNA from 1 species